rnacentral:rRNA from 1 species
UCUACGGAGGGCUGCAGUGGGGAAUAUUGGGCAAUGGGCGCAAGCCUGACCCAGCAACGCCGCGUGAAGGAAGAAGGCUUUCGGGUUGUAAACUUCUUUUGUCAGGGAAGAAGCAAGUGACGGUACCUGACGAAUAAGCCACGGCGAACUACGUGCCAGCAGCCGCGGUAAUACGUAGGUGGCAAGCGUUAUCCGGAUUGAUUGGGUGUAAAGGGCGUGUAGGCGGGAAGGCAAGUCAGUUGUGAAAACUUUGGGCUCAACCCAUAGACUGCAUUUGAAACUGGAUUUCUUGAGUGCUGGGGAGGCAAUCGGAAUUCCGUGUGUAGCGGUGAAAUGCGUAGAUAUACGGAGGAACACCAGUGGCGAAGGCGGAUUGCUGGACAGUAACUGACGCUGAGGCGCGAAAGCGUGGGGAGCAAACAGGAUUAGAUACCCUUGUAGUC